ACCGGAGAAUACAGGGUAAUACACGAGAAUACAGGGAAAUACAGGGGAAUACAGUGAAAUACAUGAUAAUACAAGGAAAUACAUGAGAAUGCAUGAAAAUGAUACACUUUAAUAUGGUUACAUGAAGUACUUACCGAGAGAUUGGGUAUGACCGCUGCAAGGCCGCGGACUCGACCACAAUCUACGUCCGUGGGAAAUUGCUUCCCUUCGUUGAUACGGUCGCUUUCACUCCAGAAAAACGCAAACUUCCAAACAUCUAAGGAGUGGAACAAAUAUUUGAGAGACCCUAUUACAGUCAUUCACAGUUCAUUGCUUAAAUCAAUGAAUCUACAAUCUCUCUGAGUCCGCUGUCGAAUUUCGCCUACAACAAACUGGUUAUCACACGGCGGAAGAUCGAUUACACUACCGAUUCACAAUAUAGCGGUGAAAGAAAGUCUACAAAAGUCUUUACAAACAGCCUCAAAUAUAAGAAAGGAUCCAUGUCUUAAAGACGAAGAAAUCGAAGACAAUAAAGCAGCAAAAGUAUGAUUAUUAAUAUUGGUCUCUCGCCGACUUGAAACGGAUGAAACGGUACCUGGAGUGGCGCGGUGGCUCGUGUCGUGUGUAGGUCGGCAAGUGUCAGCAGAUCUACCAGCAAGCGUACCCCACCAACAACAAGCAUUUCCUUCACAUUCCGCUGUGCAAGAUACAAAACAUCAAAAGCCAUUACUUACAACGUAACUAAAAGUUAAAACUACACCAUGGGAUAUCGAUUACUUACGGAAAACAUCGAUCAAAUACGGAAAUGUGUCAAUUACAUUCGGAAAAUAUAGAUAAUAUAUAAAUAAAUAUAUAAAAUAUAGAUAGAUAGAGCUCUUCUGUCAGUAAAAUCCGUUAGGGUGUUUAAAUGUUGGAUCUUACCUCACCUCGAUAAACUUCCCAGAUUCUACCGCCCACUUGGCUUGCAUGUGUACUGGAAGGCGCGUGACAAUCUUUUGCGCAGAUCAUUUGAGCUUUUUGACGACUCUUUGACGACUUGGUCGAUUAACGAUCUUAUGAUCAAAUUACAUAGAUCAAAGUUUUCUUUUAAAAUCUUUUUUGCAGCUUUAUAGACUUGUUCCUCUAGGAGAAUCACACAGUUCUCUGUAGCUUCUUUCGCCCUUCCCUGGUACGAACUGUAGCUACCAUAAGUGACGCGUUUAUUUACAACUAACGGUGCUGAAACAAACAAAAAAAUGCAUACAAUUUGACUAAAAUGUGAAGAAAUCGAGAGAAGGAAGAUUACAAGAAAAAUGAAACCAAUAUUACCUUAACGGUAGCGUACUCCUCGGAGCGCUGGCCAAAACUGACAAGAUUUACAUAAAACUCAAUACUAGGUAUAACCAAUAGAAAGGACUAAUGAGCUAAGUACGUUGGAACGCAAAGAACAAAGGCCGGUAAAACAAUACACAAAGCAAACAAUUGACAAAAAGAAGACCAUGAAAAACGAAAACAGAAUUCCGCCGUAACAUGGCGACUUUUACAAAAGAUAUUUAUGUAUAAUGAGAUCUCGUGAAUUUCGUAUCAGGAUAACAAAAUGGCGAUUGACAGAAAUCCUUAUGACUCUUUCGAUGUACAGUCAACUCUUUCUCUAUGGACAUGCCGUUAUUACGGAAGAAAUGUGUGACAAAAAUGCAAAUAAAUCAGCGCAAAGUAUCUCCUAUUAUUAAAGAUACGUUCAUGAUUACAGAAAAGAUCAAAAAGACAGGUGUGGUUACUUAUGUAUCACUCGGAUAUGUAACAAUCAAAGUGAUACGUAACAACAACCAACCAGAUAUGUAACAACAACCGGAUUUGUAACAAAAAUCAACCGGAUAUGUAACAAACUAAUCAACCGGAUUUGUAACAAAAAUCACCCGGAUUUGUAACGUUUAAAAACUGGAUUUGUAACAAUAAUCAACUGGAUUUGUAACAACAAAAGGAUUUCGUCAAAUCGUUUGAAUAAAAACUCCAUUUAUAACACA